UAUGUACUCCUCCGUCCCAAAAUUCUUGUCUUAGAUUCGUCUAGAUACGGAUGUAUCUAAUACUAAAACAUGAUUUGAUACAUCCGUAUUUAAACAAAUUUAAGACAAGAAUUUUCAGACGGAGGGAGUACUUA
rnacentral:pre_miRNA from 1 species